rnacentral:rRNA from 1 species
GUGGGGAAUAUUGGACAAUGGGCGCAAGCCUGAUCCAGCCAUACCGCGUGAGUGAUGAAGGCCUUAGGGUUGUAAAGCUCUUUCAGUGGGGACGAUAAUGACGGUACCCACAGAAGAAGCCCCGGCUAACUUCGUGCCAGCAGCCGCGGUAAUACGAAGGGGGCUAGCGUUGUUCGGAUUUACUGGGCGUAAAGCGCACGUAGGCGGAUCGUUAAGUCGGGGGUGAAAUCCUGGAGCUCAACUCCAGAACUGCCUUCGAUACUGGCGAUCUUGAGUCCGGAAGAGGUGAGUGGAACUCCUAGUGUAGAGGUGGAAUUCGUAGAUAUUAGGAAGAACACCAGUGGCGAAGGCGGCUCACUGGUCCGGUACUGACGCUGAGGUGCGAAAGCGUGGGGAGCAAACAGGAUUAGAAACCCGGGUAGUCC